rnacentral:rRNA from 1 species
UACGUAGGAGACGAGCGUUGUCCGGAGUUACUGGGCGUAAAGGGUGCGCAGGUGGCGGCGCGCGUGGGGGGUGAAAUCGCCCGGCUUAACUGGGCGGGGGCCUUCCAGACGGCGUGGCUUGAGCAGCGGAGGGGGACGUGGAAUUCCGGGUGGAGCGGUGAAAUGCGCAGAUACCAGGAGGAACACCUGUGGUGUAGACAGCUUACUGGACCACUUCUGACGCUGAGACACGAAAGCGUGGGUAGCAAACAGG